rnacentral:misc_RNA from 1 species
GAUGAAGAACGCAGCGAAAUGCGAUACUUGGUGUGAAUUGCAGAAUCCCGUGAACCAUCGAGUCUUUGAACGCAAGUUGCGCCCGAAGCCAUCAGGUUGAGGGCACGUCUGCCUGGGCGUCACAUAUCGUUGCCCAAUGCCUAUUGCAGUGCAAUAGGAAUUUCUAGGGCGAAUGAUGGCUUCCCGUGAGCGUUGUUGCCUCGCGGUUGGUUGAAAAUCGAAUCCUUGGUAGGGUGUGCCAUGGUAGAUGGUGGUCGAGUUAGAACGAUACCGAUCAUGUGCAUGCUCCCCAAAAUAUGGCCUCUAUGACCCACACGCGUCUUUUGACGCUCAUGACGAGACCUCAGGUCAGGCGGGGCUACCCGCUGAAUUUAAGCAUAUCAAUAAGCGGAGGA